CUCACUGACUCAGCAAGUAGCCUCGAGGAUAGUGAUUAACAACUUGACACAGAGACACCCUAUUCCACCAUUUGACAAAUUCGUUUAUUUAAAACAAUAAAAACAGCACUUAUAGGGGGGCUUCAUAAAAUACAAGUAGGUAGCUUGACACACUUUCACAGGUCACAUGAUUUAACACCUGGGGACAUCAGGACUAACUGCUCUCAGGCCUGAAUGGUGAGUGGAGUGGCAUGAUUUCAAGUUCAUAGAAUGGUAUGUCACUAUUUGUCUUACAUUCUCAGGAAGCAGGACCUCACUCCCCUCCUGUCUUCCCUUCUGGCCUUCCUGGUAGCCAUAACCAUGUACAAAUACGUGACCAUGAGAUGUUCCUGCCUGAUGUCCAGUGGCUCAGGGACCACAUCUGGACCUCAUCAAGACACCAUCAGCCCAUCAUCUGAACUUACAGCGCUCAAGGCAGCACUAAAUUCUGGAGAAGUGUGAGAACUCGAACUACUGAGGUCAAAGGAAGUGACACCAAGUGGCAGAGGAGAGUAUCCCAUCCAUACUCUGGGGGAAUGAGUGCUGACAUCAUGAAGCCCCCCUUAAAAAUCCAAGAGGACUGGGUUCCUGGAGCUUCUGGAUAGAUGAAGACGUGGAGUUUUCUAGAGGAUGGUGCACCCAGGGAGGGCAUGGAAGCUCUGUGCCCCUUUCCCCAUACCUCACCCUAUGUGUCUCUUCAUCUGUAUCCUUUGCAAUAUCCUUUAUAAUAAACAAGUAAAUGUAAGUAAGUGUUUCCCUGAGUUCUGAGAGCCACUCUAGCAAAUUAAUCAAACCCAAAGAGGGGAUCAUGGGAACAACUUGAAGCCGGUCAGUCAGAAGUUCCAGAGUCCCAGACUUGAGGCUGGUGUGUGUGUGUUGAGUAGGAGAAGUCUUGGGGACUGAGCCCUCAAAUUGUGGGAUCUGACAUUAUCUCUGGUUAGAUAAUGUUGCAACUAAAUUAGAGGACACCCAGCUGGUAUCUGCUGCUUGAUGUUUGCAGAAAAAAAACCCACACAUUUGAUCACGGAAGUCUUCUGUGUUGGUUGUUAAUAUGGUGUGAGACUAGAGGGGAAAUGUGGUUAUAGAGAAUUUUCCAUCUACACCAUCUCAUAGAGCUGUUGUUGGGGUCAGCUGCUUUGGUACAUGCCAAGUGCUAAGUAUCAGCUUUCACUGUUCACAAAAUUAACAGUUUUGUAAAUGCUUUGGGUAAAAAUAAGGUGAUGAACUUUCAAAAAUGUGAAUUUCUUCUGCUUUUUAAGCAUUUAAGAAACUGUAAUAUUUGACUUCUGAUUUUAAUCAAAUGCUUAAAAGUACAAUUUUUCAACAAUUAGUAAGAAUUUACAUAAAUUUAACUAAACUCUUAGGCUUCAAAUUUCUAUUGUUUUAUUUAUUUAGAGAAUGUUUAAAGGAGCAAUCAUUAAAGGAAGGGA
rnacentral:lncRNA from 1 species